rnacentral:tRNA from 1 species
CCGCCAUUUAGCAGGGCAAACGCCCGGUGACUCUACGCGAGUCACCGGGCGAUUUUGUGUCUGGUCUCAGUUCUGGUCUCAGUUGGCCGG